ensembl:snoRNA
CGUAUUUGUGUGCAUGUCUUUGUUAAAUUUGUAACAAAGCCUUAUAGACAGGUGCAAACAGUAAAUACUCUUUUACAACCCAAAACUCAUUGUUGAGUAUGAGAUUUUGGUACAUGUAAGAAGGAAUGUG